UUUGGAUUUUUUCUCAAACGUAUGCCCUGCUCCAUGAAAAAUUUUAAAUAGCUGCAUUUAUUUUGCACUAAGGUACAUAAUCAUUUGUUUAUUAAUUGUAAACUAGUAUGAAAGGGUAAAUUAUUAUAAGCUUUAUUAAAUUAAAGAUUUUAACUUAAAAAUUUUUUAAAAAUGAAAAAAUGUAAUUUAGGGACGAGAAGACCCUAUAAAGCUUGAGAUUAUUUUUUAUUUAAUAAAAAUUAAAUCUUUGAUUGGGGCAAUGUUUUAUAAUAAAGAUUAUAAAAAUAAGGAAAGAUAAAAAAUUAAAAGUAGAUCCAAUUUGAUUGAUUAUUUGAAAAAGUUACUUUAGGGAUAACAGGAUAAUUUUUAUUUUAAAGUUCUUAUUGAAAAUAAAGAUUAUUACCUCGAUGUUGAAUUAACUAAAGAAAAAGGAGGAGAAAAUUUUUUCUUUUUGACUGUUCGUCAAAUUAUAGUUACA
rnacentral:rRNA from 1 species